CAUCUCCACUUGCUCUGAGAAGUUCUGUUCUCUUGUUUUGUGUUUACAGUGUGAAGCUAAUCAACCAUCUCGUGAAGACUUUGAAUAUGAACCCACCAAAUCCAUCCGGCUGUGAAGAGAGAGAUGAUGUGAACUGCGGACGGGAGCGGAUGACGACCACGAGCUGAACAAAAACUGCUCGUGGACUUGAGAUUUACAGACCGAAAGAGAGCAAGAGACAUGAGGAGGAAAAUGCCAUGAAAAAGGGAGUCAAUGAAGGGUGAAAAAGUUCUAGUUCGCAAUAAGAGAAAAGCUCCCAUAAUGACAUUCUCAGACAGGAAUAUGGCUGUGCGCGGAGGAGCCAUCGCUUUUGCCAGAUUUGCACUCGGCUUGUCCCGUUUAUCAGCAGAUUUAUAGAUGGUGUGGAAAAGCCCCCUCAUUCCUAAGCAGAAGUCUGGCCAAUCACCAUAAUACUUUCAUCUCAUGGUGUCUGCUGCCACAGAUGCCCACCCGCUGCGUAGACAAGCACAUGCGCUCGUGUUAAUAUUGAGCAGAAGGAAAAUGCCAGUCAAUGUGGGCACUGAAUAUUACUUUCAGCAUGCACUAACAACCAGGAUCUCUCGCUCCGUUUCGAGGCCUUCAUUUGCCCGUGUUUAUAUUGCAUGGUCAGCAUUAACAUUAAGAAACGUCUGCUUGUUUGGGUGUCUCAAAGGAAGGCAGUUUAAGCAAUUUUAGUUUUGCAAACUGAGACGUAAGAUCAGCGUUCGGAGAUUUAUGUUAUUUGCAUAACUAUCGAGUUAUUUUUCCUUUUGGAUGGGAUGUUUGAAUGACAGACAGUUUUUGGAGCUUUAAACUGUAGAUUGCAUUAUCGCUGCUGGCUCAAGCGUUUCUGAUUCUGUGAAACCCUACUCCGCCUCCCUUUUUUCCCGAACUCUCUCUCUAUCGCACAAAGACAAAGAGCGAUAUCCUCGUCUGGAAUAUCCUUCAUUGGUCUGAUGAGAAUCCAACCGACAAGAUCCGUAAAGAGUCAGAGGUCAUUGUCUCACGCAGGGAGAAAUCCAAACAACUGCUCUGUUAGAAAGAGGGGGAACCAGCGGACAUGCUCACAGUGUCCACAACAACGCCUGAAUCUGACGUUUUCAUGGUUUACAUCACCGACAGCUCGUUUUUCUGAAAACAUGACUUUUUAAAUUGCCAUAUAUGGAUGUGUGCAAUACAGAACAGUCGUACUACAACAAGAUAUGUCACAGUUUGGCCAGAAGCGUACAGUAAUGUUCUUACGUUACUGUGGUAGUCAAGCCUCAGUUAUUAAAUGUGUGGUGAUCACAUUAAAAGAAAUAUAUUAUAAGAUCUAGCCAAAUAUAUAAGUAAGCCUGGUUCACAGAUGUAAUAACGGCAUCUGGCUGCAGCAGGAAUGAGUCCUAUAAGCCAUAAAUAAGUCUGAGCUUCCAGUUCCAACAUCCUGAAGUCAAUGGGUUUGUUUUUUUAAUGGUUUAAGGUUAAAUGCUUGAAAUAAUAUCCGUGACUAACACAAGCACAAGAUAUUUUCA